rnacentral:rRNA from 1 species
AGCGAACGCGGAUGGGGCUAAACCGUAUGUGUGUGAUACCCGGCAGGGGUUGCAUGUGCGGUGUUGUGGGCCCCUCCUUGUCAUGUCUGCCGGCAUGGCGCAGUGAGGUGCGGGCAUAUAGACGAACCAGUGUGGAUGCUGGACCGUAGAGGGUGAGAGUCCCGUAGUCGAAAUGUGUUCCGCCGCUGUUGGAGGGUUGCCCGAGUAGCACGGGGCCCGAGGAAUCCCGUGUGAAUCUGCCAGGACCACCUGGUAAGCCUGAAUACUACCUGUUGACCGAUAGCGGAUCAGUACCGUGAGGGAAUGGUGAAAAGUACCCCGGGAGGGGAGUGAAAUAGUACCUGAAACCAUGUGCCUACAAACCGUUGGAGCCUCCUUGUGGGGUGACAGCGUGCCUUUUGAAGAAUGAGCCUGCGAGUUAGUGAUACGUGGCGAGGUUAACCCGUGUGGGGAAGCCGUAGCGAAAGCGAGUCUGAAUAGGGCGAUUGAGUCGCGUGUCCUAGACCCGAAGCGGAGUGAUCUACCCAUGGCCAGGUUGAAGCGCGUGUAAGAACGCGUGGAG